UCCGCUAACACUCAACCCAACCCAAAGGAGCAUUGUAAAGCAAUUUUUACUAGAAGCGGUAGAGAGUUGGCAAGUAAAAAAGGUGAGGAAAUUACAGUUGAGAAUGAUAUGGAUGCUGUGCUGGAAAAUGAGGAUGUGGCUUGUGGGAAGAAGAAAGUGGCAGAAACUGCUCAGUUCGCGCCGUGAUCUUCCUUCGCGCCGCGAAAACAGCA
rnacentral:lncRNA from 1 species